UACGUAGGGUGCGAGCGUUGUCCGGAAUUAUUGGGCGUAAAGAGCUCGUAGGCGGCUUGUCGCGUCGGAUGUGAAAGCCCGGGGCUUAACUCCGGGUCUGCAUUCGAUACGGGCAGGCUAGAGUUCGGUAGGGGAGAUCGGAAUUCCUGGUGUAGCGGUGAAAUGCGCAGAUAUCAGGAAGAACACCCGUGGCGAAGGCGGUUCUCUGGGACGGUACUGACGCUGAGACGCGAAAGCGUGGGGAGCGAACAGG
rnacentral:rRNA from 1 species